CUUUUACCCCCUCACUCACGACAGUUUAUACCCCUCUCUCACCGUCAAUUCUUCCCUCCCCCAACCCUGUGGUUCUUCUCAGGUUCUACCUCUCAGUUCACAUUGCCAAUGGAAUCGACCGAUAUGGGUUUGGUCAUAAUAGUCCCCAUCACCAGACCCCACCAGCCAUCACCUCGUGGGUACCAUGGCUGAUUCAUCUUCAAAAUCGAUUGCAACGGUGCGGCAUUGAUGGAUUCGUGAAACCACAGGGAGAACCAUAGAAGAUCAAAUUCUACUUGGGCUUUGUCUCUUUUAAGAAUGCUUGGGGGAGGUUUGAUAUUGUGGGCCUUCUAAGAUAGAAGUUCAAUAGCAGUUUUGGGUAUAUGGGGACAACCAAAGCUGCAAUGGACAUGGAUUAUGAAUCAAUAUUUUGAGGUGAUGUUAACAACUACACCAUUGUUCAAAUGAACUCACAAAACUCCAGUGCCACAAGUACACAAUUGAAGAGCUUCAACAAUGUUGACAUUGUCCUCUUUAGCAAUCAGAUUGACCAGAUGAAUAUGGAGAAAGGUACAUCAUGGACAACAGUACCUAAUCUUUCUCCCACUCUCUUUGGUAUUGGAACACCAAUGUUUCAUUUUAUUAUUAUUUUUUUCCUUUUGGGUUUCAAUUCUGGCAGAUUAUUAUUGGAACACGAGUGUUUGAAGAAAUGCUUAAACUGAACUUUGGAUUGGAUGUGUGGCACCCAAUUGUUUAUGCACGUACUAUGCUAUUUACAGAUUUCUUUUAAAUUUUGUUGCGAAUUGUGAUAUCAAUAUUUGGUUAAGAUUAAUACUUUGAACUAGAUUCUCAUGUUGUAGUUGCUUUAUGGUUAGAUACAUAAUUUGGAUCUAUGUAACUUUCUUCCUACCAGAUAGUUAGAUACUCUUUUUUUUUUUGGUAAAAAUUUCCACACCCUGCUGUUGUUGAUUAGUCAUAAAGCUAAUUAAGCUAUUUGUCUUAGUGAGAAGAACAUGUAUUUUCAUGUUCUAUGGUUCUAUCUACCAAAUUACUCUCAGUUCUUGGUUUGCAAAAGUCUGAUUGCAAAAUUAAGAUUAGAGCUCUUAUAGAGAAGACAAUGACAAUGUGCCAUUUUUUCCAGGGCUUUCUGCCAUGGAGGCUUAUGCUGCUAUGCAAAGGGUUCACCCAAUGAAAUUUGGAUUUCAUUAGCAUAUCAAAUUUCAGUUUGAGUCCGACAAAAUCUUUAUUCAAAAUUUCCACAUUUUCCCUCCUUUCAAUGAGUUCAUCCUUCAACUAAUUGAUCUCACUUUGCAAAGCCAUCUCAUGGGCAACAUGCAAACCUUUCAGUUCUACUUUCUCAGCCUUAGAUUGCCUUAUUUCUUUUUCUAAUGAUCCACAUCUUAAUUCCCAUUCUUUGAGCGUAUCUUUUUCUAAUGAUCCACAUCUUAAUUCCCAUUCUUUGAGCGUAGCAUCAAACAAGGUCUGCUUUUCUGACAAACUUGAAAUACCAGAUUGCAAUUGUUCCUUCUCCCUAGAGAAUUGUUCUUGGGCAUCAUGCAAUGAGGUGGUCCGAGUAACCUAAGAGUUUCGACAAAAAUCUCUUCUUUCUAAUAAUUUUAGUGUCUAAAGAGAAGUUAUAUUUAGGAUUUUGUAGAAUUUUUUUGUUAUUUCUAUAAUCCUAUUUGAUAACAAGCCAUUGAUGAAUUUGGGUUCUAGAGUAACCUAAGAGUUUCAACUAGGGGCUCAAACUUAUUGACUAUUGGUCCAUUAAAAAAAUAUAAUGGAGUGUUUCUGCAAUUUGGUUUUGGAUUAUUUGGUUUACUGUUUAAUAUAAUUGAGAUUUCAGCAUAAGAUUCCUAGGUUGGAGUUAUCAUUUUUUAUACAAUAUGGAAAAUCACUUUGAUGUUGACCUUUUUAAGCUGGCAACUACAUGGUACAAUGUUGUUUUCUUCUACUUCUAACAGAGUAACUAGCUUAAAAAUUAUUAUUAGUCAUUAUAGAAAGGAAGUUAUUAAGACCUGAAAUUUCAAGGAAGAAACUGAAAAACACAAGGAACUAAUUUUCUAUAAAAUUUGAUGUGAUUCAAAGAUUGUUUGUUUGGUUAGAGAAUUGAAGUUAGCACUUAACUUUGAGUGAGUUGAAAUGUGAUGCAAGAAUGAGCUUUCGAUAUGAAAUUUGGUGUGGCAACAUCUCUCAUACUGAAUCUAAACAUGUAAAAAGGGUUUAAGUAUUUUGUAGUGUAACAUAAUCUAUUUAUGCUUUUCAAUUCAUGUUUACUAUUUUAAGUCAUGAUAUUCAGUCACCUGGCAUACAGGAAAAAAAAAAAAAAAAAAAACAGUGACUGAAAUCCAUUUUGCAUUCCCUGUAUUUGAAGAGUGUUUCUGAUAAUGAGUAAGAUAUAUGAUUUGUUGCAGUGGGUAAUUUGGCUUUGGAAAAGUUUUUCCAUAUAAUAAAGCAUAGUCACACUCAUUAUGGCUUUGGGAAGCUGUAAGUGAAGGGUACCCGUACCAAUGCUGAGUAGCUCCUGUUCCUGUUGCGGUGAAUUUCAUGUAAGACGUGGUUGAGAUUUACAAUAGAAAUGGUAUGUUUAGCUAACUUCAAGCAAACCUAGCACAUCUUUCUCUUCCGCAAUUUGUGUUGUUUCAGAUCAUCACCUUCAUGAUCCUUUGUAUUUGAGAUAUUUACAUGAUAAAUAGUCUUCAAGUAUGUUCUUUUAGGUUAACACUAUAAUAAUUGAAAGCAAGAAACUCCUAAUUUGUAGGAUCUCCCUUCUUUGAUUACAAGGACUGCACUGCUCAUAUUGUCAUUUUCCUGUGGUGCUAAUGACUAACAUGAAUAUAUUCUUUUCUUAAGUUAUCAAUUUGUAUUUUACCAUAUAAUUAAAUGUUAUCAGUGUUUCUUCAUUUAUAUGGCUCGGAAAAAUACAAAAAGGUAAACUGUGGUUAGAAGUCAUUGGAUUCAUAUGAGCAUAAAAUGUUUGGGUUGGAAGAUCUAAUCAAAACUUUGAAAAACCAAAUCAAGGAGUUGAAGAAGAGGCUGUUCGAAUCAAAAUAGAACUUUAUCCGAUGACUUUUGUAAUAAACUUUUUGUUUUGCCAUUUCUUUCCAUACAAUGUAUUUCUUUGUUAUAGAAUGCUUUUUAUUUUUUCUUAUGCUAAGCACCUCAUGGUAAGCAAAAGUGAAGAAAAUUUUGCAUUAAAAAUGUCUAGACAUGGAUUCAUAUGUGCUAUGGAGACAUGGAGUGUUUAACAGCAAACUUAGUUAGAGAAC